rnacentral:rRNA from 1 species
GAGUUUGAUCGUGGCUCAGGAUGAACGCUGGCGGCGUGCCUAACACAUGCAAGUCGAGCGGUAUAUAUUGGAUUGAAACUUCGGUUGAAUGAAGAUAUAGAGAGCGGCGGACGGGUGAGUAACGCGUAGGCAACCUGCCCCAUACAGAGGGAUAGCCUCGGGAAACCGGGAUUAAAACCUCAUAACGCGAGAGUAUCACAUGGUGCUUUCGCCAAAGAUUUAUCGGUAUGGGAUGGGCCUGCGUCUGAUUAGCUAGUUGGUGGGGUAACGGCCUACCAAGGCAACGAUCAGUAGCCGACCUGAGAGGGUAAUCGGCCACAUUGGAACUGAGACACGGUCCAAACUCCUACGGGAGGCAGCAGUGGGGAAUAUUGCACAAUGGGCGAAAGCCUGAUGCAGCAACGCCGCGUGAGCGAUGAAGGCCUUUGGGUCGUAAAGCUCUGUCCUUGGGGAAGAAAAAAUGACGGUACCCUUGGAGGAAGCCCCGGCUAACUACGUGCCAGCAGCCG